rnacentral:rRNA from 1 species
UACCUUAAAACUAGCUUAAAUACUUAAAACAAUAAUAAAUUUAAAUAACCCCUCAAACCAUAAAUUUUAAUAAUAAAACAUUUUAACCCCUUAGUAAAGGAGAUUAAAAAGGAAGAUAAAGCUAUAAAAUAAGUACCGUAAGGGAAAGUUGAAAAAGAAAUUAAAAAAAUCAUUAAAGUUAUUAUCAGCAAAGAUUAAAUCUUGUACCUUUUGCAUCAUGGGUUAACAAGUUAUUUCAAGCAAAAAGUUUUUUAGUUUGAAAUCCCGAAAUUAAACGAGCUACUCCGAGACAGUUAGUAUAUGAACAAACCCGUACCUGUGGCAAAAGGUUGGGGUGAGCUCCGAGUAGAAGUGAUAAACUAAACGAGUUUAAUUAUAGCUGGUUGCCUAAGAAAUGAAUAGAAGUUCAGCCUGUCUGCACAUUAAAUUAUAAAAUAUGUAUACAUAUUUAAUUUAAUGUAUUUUACAAAGUUAAUCAAAAGAGGUACAGCUCCUUUGAUUCAGGAUACAACCUUGUUAAAAGGUUAAAAAUCAUACACAAUAAAAUAUAAAAUUUUUGUGGGCUUAAAAGCAGCCAUCUUGUAAGAAAGCGUUAAAGCUCAAACUCUUAAUAAUUUUAAAUAAUGAUAUAUAAUUUUAAACCUUUAAAAAAAAAUUAGGCUUUUUCAUAAAAUGAAAACAAUAAUGUUAACAUGAGUAAUAAGAGAAAUAUGUUUCUCUCCUAGCAAAAGUAUGAAUCGGAUCGAACUAACACCGAAUAUUAAUGACCCAUUAUUAAGAAGGAAUUGUUAAAAACAAGAAAAACAAGAAAAACUAACACUUACAUAUCAUCAACCCUACACAGGAUUGCUGACUAGGAUAGAUUUAAAAGUUAAGAAGGAACUCGGCAAACUAAACAUAGCCUCGCCUGUUUACCAAAAACACCGCCUCUUGCUAAAUAAGAAUAAGAGGUCCCGCCUGCCCUGUGACUAAACGUUUAACGGCCGCGGUAUUUUGACCGUGCAAAGGUAGCGCAAUCACUUGUCUUUUAAAUAAAGACCUGUAUGAAUGGCAUAACGAAGGCUAAACUGUCUCCUUACCUUUAUCAAUGAAAUUGAUCUCCCCGUGCAGAAGCGGGGAUUAUCACAUAAGACGAGAAGACCCUGUGGAGCUUUAAGCAAAAUUGAUUUAUUAAAAGUAUAUCAAAUCUAUAAAAUAAAAUAAAAAUCAUUAUAUGCUUUUAGUUGGGGCGACCGCGGAGUACUAAAAAACCUCCGUGAGGAUUGAGGUAAACCCUUAAAACUAAGAAAAACACUUCAAAGUAUUAAAAUAUUUAACCUAAAGAUCCGGUAAUACCGAUUAACGAACCUAGUUACCCCAGGGAUAACAGCGCAAUCCUUUUUAAGAGCCCAUAUCGACAAAAGGGUUUACGACCUCGAUGUUGGAUCAGGAUGUCCUAAUGGUGUAGCAGCUAUUAAAGGUUUGUUUGUUCAACAAUUAAAAUCCUACGUGAUCUGAGUUCAGACCGGAGUAAUCCAGGUCAGUUUCUAUCUAUGUUAUGCCUUUUUUCAGUACGAAAGGAUCAAAAAAGUAAGGCCUAUGUUUACAACAAGCCUUUUUUUUAACCUUUGAAAAAUUAUAAAAAGGUGUAAAAACAUAAAAAAUACUUAAAUAUAAUAACAA